ACCUCUUGCUCUGCUCAUGCAAUGCCUUGGAGUGUGCCUGCUACAGAUAUUCCCAAGCUGCCUGCUAGCUAUGUCCAGACAGGACUUGCCAUAGUGUUUGAGAACCUAAUGAGAGAGAAUGGAUCCCUGCCCACUGAGUGUGAGAAGCCUAGGUGUGGGGCUGGCCCUGUGGCUGUCACAGCUGUGCUGGUGUGAGGUGCUGCAGUUGGCCAAAUACUGCUGAAGUGGUGAAAUUUGAUCCCUGUUGGCUAAACUCUGACAACAGGGCUGUUAUGGUCCAGGCUGUAUUUGCUGUUAUUUGGAACAGCUGAGUAGCCAGGCCAGCUGCCGGGGAAAGGGAGUAAGCCUCUGCAGAGUAUUUGAGCCAUUUGAAUGCCUUUUAUGGGGAGGCUGGCCUGGCUGUACUGUGGCAGCUGCCCCAGAACUGAGGAAUCUGUGAGGUGGCUUGCUUUGGAGGUGGCUUUAUUGAUAGCCCUUUCUCUCUGUUUCCUGGAAACUCAAUCAUGAAGGUCAGAAGGAUAUGGGCCAUAGCUAUGUCUUGCCAGUUACCUUGUGGGCAUAGAUAUGGUGAUGCAGCUCCUCCUAUUUAGCCUUCAGAUCUGAUGUAGCUCAUGACUGUGAGGGACUGGCAGUGUGCAAAUGAGCAGGAUGCUUUAUGGGCACUUAUCUCUUCCAGGGCAGUAUGUGUGUCUGGAGAACAUCCACCAGAAGGCUCUGCUGCACUGACCAAGUUCAGCAAAAAUUUCUACUCUGCAUAUGGUGGGAAGGUGUAGAAGGGGCUGCUACAACCACUGUCCUUUGUGGGAGCAGGGUACAGGUAGCACAUGUCUCUCUGCACUGCAGAAGCAUGGUUAUGCUGUGGGACUACCUCUUCUGAACUGGACAGAAGCACAGAUAAUGGUACUUAGAAUUUUGGUCCUGCAUAUACUGCAUUACAUAGAACCAUAGAAAGGCUCACGCUUUGCCCUAUCAAGUAAAUCUUGAGGUUUGGUGGGCUUUCUGUUUGUUUGUUUUAAGGUUACUGAUAAUUUUUGGUGGGAGAGUGAGGAAAAAAUGGCUUUUGUUUUGUUUCCCUUAUUUCCUGUCAUUUAAUGUCUGAAGAUUUAGUAAAUCAUAAGGUAUUCAAACUAUCAGAAGUACAAAGCCCUUAGUUCACAGAGGGAUGCGGGCCUUAAAGCUGGUUCCCCUGCCUGCUGGCUACUCCAGUUAGGGGAGGUAUGUGUCUGUCAGCAUGGACAAGAGUAAAGGUGAUCUUGCUUUUUGCCUGUUAAGUUCUCAUUUCCAGGUAGGCUCAAAGUACAAAUGGGAGCUGUCCCCCUCCUAUACUUUCCUCAGCCUAGUUAGGCUUAUGCUGCUUUCUAACUGAAGAGACCACAGGAGAAAAAGGAGGAAGAAAGUCUUUACCAGUACUUCCUUUUGUUCUCCCGCAUCCCAGAUCUAUAAAUGCUCCUGGUCCUACAAGUGAUGCUGGUAAAAAUGCAGAAUAAACAUGAAGUGUCAAGUCUAAAGUUACAAGAUUUCACCUCUGUUAGAAAGACCAGGAAAACAAGUAUGACAUGCCGUGCUGCAGAUAGAAGAUACCGGUGAAUGUAAAAUGUCUUGUUCCUGCUAAGUAAGCCUUCCUUGAAAUGCAUGGCACACUUGGCUUUUCCAGUAUCCUUGGGAACCUGAGCCCUGCUUGCUCUGGGGAGGAGCAGAAAAGCACAGCCGGCAUGGCCUAAGAGUGUGCCUUUUUUAUUUAAAUCCUGCCAAGCCUGUUGCCAGUCUUUCAGUCCAGCAACACUUCCCAGGGGAACCAAGAGCCUACAGUUGUCCAGGCACUGAGAUCAGGAGGUGGAGGAAAACCCUGACCCCUGCUUCUGCUGAAUCCUUUAAGUUUGCUGUGUUCAAGUCAGCUUCCAUUCCUGUAUUUUCACCAGGAAUCAAAGCUGUAGCACUUUCUUGCCUUACAGCAUCAUGGAGAGGGAUAAAGGGACCUUGAAGACACUGGAAAACAGUUGUGAGACUGCUAUAUGAACACAGAAUAAGUGAUGUUCCUCAUACAUUGGCUGGAAAUUGAAGAUAACAGUUUCAGGAACACUAACUCAGGAAAAAUUAUGCCCCACUCUCUUCCCUGUGACUUUUCUGAUAGGUCUCAAAGGUGAAAGCCAGUUAGCACUAGGUAAACAGGAAUUUUCCCCCAUAAGUGAGAUUCUGACUGAGAGUGAGGAUAAAGAAUAUGGGGAAGGCAGAUGCAGCGGAACUGCCAGAUCACAGCCUGAUCCAAUGGUUGAGCUCCAGGCGAGAAGGUGUAGCUAAUCCACUGCUUGCACCUGAGUGAAUGGAAGAGAAAAAGCUUGGAUCCACCCCUCCUCACCCUCAUUCAAGGGCUAGCAGCUGAGGGAACAGUCUCUCUCUGGAUUGUACUCUUCUUGAGCUGUCCCUGGUUGCUGGAAGGAAUGAGCUAAUUUUUCUUUCUUUGUUACCUGCUAUUGCUCUAUUGUUCCUCUGUCCCAUUAGAAGGCAUAGAAGGCAUUGUCAUUGCCUUCUUUUGUCAUACAGCACAUCAUACAGUAGCAUCCCUGGGAGGCAAAUAAGUGUACUCUCAACUGGAAAGACAGAGGAAAGAAAUAAGCAGAAUUGGAGAUCUACAUUCCCUGUAAGACAGCACUAGGUAAAAUGCUGUCUUCCUAACUGUAAUGUGCAAACGUAACACUGCCAGCAAUGAGGUGUCCUAUAGUUUUUAUACAACUAGCUUUAACACUGGACUAGCAGCUUAUGUCAGAAAUGCUACUGCUUUGUCCUUACUAGGAUUUGCCUCAAACUAGAGAAGUAAGGCUGUUCACCCCGUGUCAGGCAUUGGCUACUGCCAGCUGAACAAACUAGGUAGCUACUGCAGGAUUCUUCCAGUUUGUGGUCUGAAGAGACUUCUCCAGAAUUUGGAGAAGGUGUCUGACCCAAGUACUCUGGGCUGAGUUUCUUCCACUCUUGUUCUACAGAGGGCAGGCUGGCAAAACCAUGCACCCACAGUACAGCAUUCCAUUUCAGUAUCCCAAAUAAAAAUAAUGCCCAUUUCUAGCCUAGAUGCUCUUCCACUGAGAAGCACUGUUUGUUGCAAGAUUUGCCCGGAGACUUUCAAGGUGAGGCUGGAUAAAACCCUGGGCAACAUGAUGUGGUGCCCCUGUCAUUGCAGGGGAGUUGGACUGGAUGGCCCUCAGAGUUCCCUUUGAACUCUAAAGAUUCUAUGAUUUUUGGAUCAUUUGAGUGCUCUAAAGCUCAGCCCCUGCUGUAACUGCAAGGAGAAAUACUCCAGUUCUUAUAUACACAAGGCAUUAAGUCACUACAUUGUAGGGAAGAGACAGCAAUGCAAAUCAUGCUUCCUGUAUCUAGCUUGCUGGGGUUUUUUUUGUUACUGAAGCCAAGUAGCUAUAGGUUCAGAUCUGAAAAUCUCAUAUAGUCCGAUUCAAAACUCAGGUUUGUUUCAGUGAAUGUAAAAGGACUAGACAAAGCUGUACAAUUCUGCUUGCUCUACUACUGUUCCAUGAAAUUACGGCACCGUUCUGUGAACUAAGCUUCUGUUAUACUCCAGUUCUAGGAAUAUGAGAGAAAAGCAAGGUGGGAUAAGGAGUAAUGAACAUUUUGCUGAAGGCACCAAGAAGUAGAUCUACUGGCUUGGCCAAUGCUUGGUUACCUUCAAAUAUACAUCAAGAUGUGCUUCUGCCAAGCUCUCAAACCCAGCAGUUAUGGCAAUCUUUUUAUGCAAAGAUUGUUUCUCUAAUGAUAAAGAAAUAUAAACUUUAAUUCAUUCUUCAUUUGAAGAUCUUAGCUGUUACAAAAAUGUAAAAUAACUACCACCUGCCUCAUUUGCUGAUGCUUGUGCGCACAGUGGGAACACAUGUAGAACUUAGCAGACCACAAAGCCAAGCCAAAUAGCUAAAUUUCUUGCAAACCCAUGAAUCCUGUUAAGGUUCAAACUUUUUAGCUGGAAACUCUACAAAAGAAAUAGUUCUUCACACUAUUUAGUAAAGUCUUAUAUACCACCACCACAAGGCUGGCUGAUGGCCCACUGCUCAGAAAUACUUGACUUGCAAGCAUAACACCAGCAUACUGAGAAAGUCUUGUUGCUGCCCACAGCACUUGUGGGCAAAGGUAGCUUUGCUGCUUGCAGUGCAGCAUGCUGCCCCUGAAAUGGGGACUGGUUCCUGCAGCACACAGGCAGACCCUGCUUAGCUGGGAGGCUCUUCCUGACCUGAGGGAAAGCUGCAGGGCUUUCUUUCUCAGUAAAGAACAUGCCACGUAGAAAAGGCCCUGUUGCUGAUCCCAGACUGUUCACAAAAGCCUGUCAGAUUUGCCAGUCAUUUUGACUGAUUUUGGUAAGUGCAGGAUGAAAGGAUGGCUUUAAAAAAAUCAAAUGAACACAAUUUUCAAAUACAAUAAAUUAAAGGAAUUGUGAAGGUUUCUAUUUAUUUAUUU